GAACGAAGACACAUGCACGAACGUGUCAUAUUAUCCGAUACAAAUAGAUAAAUAAUCAAUUAUGUACAAGUAUAAACAUGGUGUACAAGUUACGGCUUUGGAUAUCGUCGUGGCGCCAAUUUCGCGCAGUCAAAAAAAAAAAAAAAAAAAAUUGACGCUUCCUCCCUUUUAUCGAUUUUCGUCGUCGACGACCCCUCCCGCCAAGAUGUAACAAUCAUUAUUAAACGGAGCACAGCUCCGUAGAAAACAGCGUUAUAUAUAUCACAUAAUUUCAGGCUACCAUAUUUCUACGUCAUUUUCUUCGUACUCGUUCUUCCCGAAGUCGUCUUACAUCUAGUGUGUGACAGUAUUAUUAAAUCGCCUAAACGGUAAUCACUCGAAACAUUUGGUCAGUAUCUAUAAUUUCCGACUUCCUAUUCGGCCGUUUUAUCGUGAUUAAUGUCGAUUAAAUUUCUAUCGAUUUUUCAUCUUCCAAACACUAAAACAUUAUAGUUAUUUAAAUUCUUCUUCAAUAUUUCAAAUUAAAUUUUUAUCAAAUUAUGUACAGAGCAUUUUAACGAAAUAGUAACGAUUAGUAUAACUUUGUAUUAACAAUUAAAAUCGAAACAAGAUUGAAUUUUUCUACUUUUAUCUUAUUACUGGCGCCAUCUGAUAUUAACUCGACAAAGAUGAUAUCUGCCGUCCUCGUAAGGUAAAGUCACUUUACAAAUCGAAGAAAGAAAUCGAAGAUGAAAAUCUCAACCAUCAAUUCACGUUAAUCACGACGAAAUCAGCCACAGUUCAACCGAAACGCGCGACUUCGAUCGAAUUAUUUUACAGAGAAUCUCGCGCGUUUACCAAAGGGAGCAAGAAAAAGCGAAGGAGAGAGGAGCCAUUAGCUCGUGCUUAAAACCGUGUCUUCUAUCCUUGUCGAGAUUACCUCAACAUACGAUUGAACGACAGUAGUGCGAGUUUCUUUUUGCUGGUUCUUUGCUCGAUGCCAUGAACCAUUAUCUUGUUCUUCUUUUCUUUAGAUUCAAUCGAGCGCAAAGUUCAAAUAAGUUUCUCAGGCUCCUCUAAAUCUGCCAAUGUCUGCCACGACCCAAGAUUUCGAUCGAUUAAUCAGUCGUUCGAUUUAUCGAUGAAUCGACUUCUCUAGUCACAAGAGACAAAAAGUUAACUAUCAGCGAAACGAUAUUACUAAGAUUUCAUUAUUAUUUAUUGUCUUUUUUCAAGCAAUUUGAUCACUUUCUUACCAAAAAAUUUUCGAGAACACGUCGCCUUGUAAUCACGGUGCAAAUAAUAAUCUAUUUCGAAGUGUAAUCCAACAAGGAUCCUAAACCGAAUCUACAAACACCUAACAAAUUUUUCUCCGUGGAUAAAUAAAGAAAUGCAAGAAUGGUCCAAGUCAUCGAGCAGCGAACCAUCUUUGAGAACAGAGUCUAGAGGAGAUGCUCUUCAGCCUGUGCUGCGAUAUCGACCGAUUCGUCCGUUGCCUACAGAUCCGCCAAAUCACGAAAAUGAUGACGGCGAGAAUCGUGAUGAUGGCGAGGAGGCCAAGACCCAAGUGAAGGGGAGGCAGUUGCAGAAGGACAGAACAGUGAGUCAGAGCCUCAUCGUAUCCUGAUGGACAAUGAGAGAUUCCAUCGCACCACAGAGAAGCGUUUAUGCACGCAUCCAGCUCUGGACAUCGCUGUUCGCAAUCACGUGGCAUCUGCAAUCCUGCUGUCGAUGUUACCGAUGGUUAGAAAUUCGAGCGAAGGAAAAAUUGAAUAAAUUCUGAAUUGGAAUACUUUCUAAGAGGAUUGAGAAAUUUGGAUAUCGUUUUAUCAUGAAAAAUGCAUCACAUUAGAUAUGAGCUCGAGCCAGGUGACCGUGUACGUAUCCGGUUCCUUGAUAAUAAACUCGAUGGCUAUAGUCCUGAUGGGGUCCUGACCCGGGACCAGAAUCAUGGCAUUGCUGCUGACGGCCCAGCCGUCGCUGAAAACUUCGACCACGUGGUGUCUAAACUCCGCAGGUGGUUUCGGGCACACCGACACGUGUAUCGUGCCACCGGUAUUGAUUCGGCCCAGGAUCUAUCAGCCAUGGAUGCUUCUCACAAUUUUUCUGGAGACGAGAUUAAUCAAAUAUAAUAACGUGAUUCAAUUGUUCACAAAUUUUCUCAACUCUCAAGAUCAACGAGACCUUCUUAAUUCAUCAUAAAUCAAAGUGUCUCACCUCGUCCUCGUCGACUAUUGGAGCUUUGUACUUGAUCUCUCCGGAAGGCCCCCUCACCCUCCUCUUCUGCAAGCAAGGAAUCGUCUUGACGAAUUCCCAUAUGCCUUCGAAGAACAGAUUAUUGUAAUCGUCCAACGCGUCCAUAGAUCUGACGGUGAAGUGCACCUCGACGAUGUUCGAGGUCGAUUUGAUGUUGAUCGGCAGUGAUCGAUUGGAACACAGGCAGUCUCGUUGCACGGGCGGCGCGUUCGGCCAUGGAAGAUCUAGCACCUGUGGAUAUCGAGCCGUGAUUCGGUCCCGCGGGUCGCUUGCCAUUUAAUUAGCCGUCUGAUUAUAUUAUAAUUGCAGGGGGACAAACAUGACGGCCGGGUAUCGAGAGCAUAAGCGUUCCUAAUUGCGCUUUAAAUUCGCGAGCUGGUGACCCUCGUAAAUUCUGGAAUCGAUAACGAAGUUGGAACGAACGAUGGUAACCACCGUUUUCGGAUCGAAAUUUUAGAUUUAUUCGGCUUUUGCCCACCGCUGCCACUCCGAUUACCGUUUACACGCCGAAUUUCUGAUAAAGUUUUAAUGAAAACGCGCCCUCGUUAAUUACGACCUCUCCCCACUCGUUCUCGCGAGUUGGGAAAAUUGUGUCGAUAGAGGUCCUCUCGAUCGCCACCAGGAAACUUUAAAUUAAAAUCGUUGCUCAUUUGUGAUUGGUGUUCGAAUCUUAUUUGCGAUUCCAUUGGUGGACUUCUAAAGAUUUAUCGGUUCUAGGUCUUUUUGUGAUUUUAAAGAGUGUGGAUAUUUUAUGCGUUAUGUUGUUCUUUUACACGAGGCAUGUUUAGUGUUAAAAAAAAUAUUUGAAUAUUUAUAUUAAAAGUGAAAUUCGAUAGAUAAUUACGAUAUUGUGAUUAGAUAGUCAAGGAAUCAGAAAUUUUAUCUCGUAAAUGUGAAUGUGUUUGUUUUCGAAUUGUUUUCCUUCUCGCAUCGGUAUUCAAUUCAUUUCUACACAAUGUCGGGAAGAGAUUCUUAUACGUUAUUGAAGCAAAUUUAAAUCGGUUUAUCUUUCGAAGUGUAACAACAUUGAAAAGGAAAUAAUUGUUUCGAUCUCUGUGAUUAAUUUUUGAACAAGGCUCUAUCGUUCUCGAUUAUCCGAACAACACCGACUUGCCAGUUAUCGCACAUUUGCUCGCCGACGUUAAUAACUCUAUUCACGAGAGAUGAAUGGGGGCCCCUCUAGCGAUCUCGUGUCGUGCAAAUAUAAAACGGGGCAAUACCCAUUCAAAGUUCGUUUCGAAGAUUAAUUGGAACACGUGCCGUGUUAUUAACAGAUCGAGGAAAGGAAAUAUUUGAAACAAGUUCUGCGCUUUCAAUUGUUGAAACAAGAAAACGUCAAAAAUUGCAAAACUAUCUGAACCAAAAACUAUAUCGAUAGACGUGAUACGUUACAUACGUGGUACAAUCAAAGCAAAAAUUUUUCCUCUAAAAUUUAUUCGCAAAAUAUAUAAGCGAAAAAAGGGAUUGAUUGAAACGGAACGAUGAGACUCACCUUCACGAAAAAGUUCUCCGAUCCAACGCAGAGGAGCCGAUUAAAGUCUGCGCUGGAGACGCUGCGGCACGUCCUGUUCCCGUUCAAAAGCUUGUUGAACCGCAGCUUCACGAUCUCGUCGUGCUCGCCCUCGAAUCGAUACACGCAGCUGGAAAAUCCGUUGUAGCCUGUACUAAUGGAAUUUACAUGGUCGGCCGGCCACGCAAAGGAAAUCGCAUCCUCGAUCCUGAUACCACAGGUUGCACGAGAGAUUACGAGGAGGGGCAGAUCAACCAUGGUCAAUGAUGUUUCUCGUUCGUUAACCGAUCGUCGGUUUCCCUUGCGGUAAUUUGAAGAGACAAGGGAAGGGAAAGGAAGAGGUUGAAGGAAAUAGUAUAUAAGAAGUAGGAAUUUUAAUUUGAACCAAUUUUUCUUAGUUUCUAUGGUAUAUGAAAUUGUAUUUGAACGAUAAAUGGAAUGAGAUGAAGAAAAAUGAAGAAAUGGAAAGAUGAGGAAUAGAAAUUUUAAUCCGGAUCAAUUUUCCUUGGCCUCUGUUAUAUUUCAUUCCUCUUUCGCAUGGCGUGUAAUCACAAUUGAGAACAAAGUAAACGGGUAUCCGUCACGCAGCAGCUAUGGAAUUCUAUUUGGAACGGUAAACAAAUGAUAAGUAAACAACGAUCGACGUGAAAAAGCGAAUUGUAUAUAUGGUUAUACAACCGAUCAGAGUGCACGUCUCUCGAGGAAGAUGUUAUUUCUCUCGUGUCGAAUAUGAAAAGGUGUAAAAAUCCAUUUUUAUGGUCUCGCGAAGCGAGUGGAACGGUUUAAUGGAUGGGCAAGGAAAGUUUGAUUGGGAUUGGAUCGAUUGAGGAGUUGUUCACGCGAGGAUUGAAACGGAGUAAGAGUUGAAUUCGGUGUCAAUGGAACUUUAGGUGAGGUUUGACUUUCCUUUCUGUGGAUUUUGUAGGUUGAAGUUUGAAAAAGAGAAAGAGGAAGAGAGAGAGAGGGAGAGUUGUCAAAGUUGGAAGGAUAAACAGAGGGAAAUUUGUAAUAGGGAUGGUGGUUGGGUAAAGGUCUCUUGGAUUUGUUUGUAGUUGAGCACGAGAAAGCUUGGAAAACGAAGAAGGGGAAGUUUUCGAUGAGGGAAUAGUGAUUCUAUUUUUAAGAUUCGCUUUGGAGAGAGGGGAAUAAUAGUGAGAGAUAAGGGGAAAAGAGUCGAAAGAGAAAAAUGCUCUAAACGAAUAGCUUUCAUAAUACUUUUCCAAUCUUAAGUUGGUGAAAGUUUUUACUUUGUUAAACUCAUAACUAUGAAAAGAAAAAGAUUUUAAAGGAGGAGGAAUUCGUUACUGUAUAGAAUGUCAUAUCUGAUUUUUAACAUUUAAGUUUUCUCUGUAUUAUUUAUUUGUGAUGAAAAAUGUUUAUUUGUAAUUCAGAUAAAAGUUGAAUGGUGUCAAAAAAUGCAUAAUCUUUGUUCUUAAUUCUUUCUGCAUAAAGAUGAAGAUCAAUCUUUUUUCCUUGUUUUUUUUUUUGAAUACUUUUUACUGCUUAAAAAUUUUUGCAAAAUUUAUUCCAUCAUAAAAAAUCAUAAAAUCCUUUCCUCGAUUCAAUUUUUAUUUGAAACGUUUAUUCGUUACGAAUAAUAAUAUUAAAAAAAUCAAUGUGAUACACUUUAUUCCAUACUUUCUUUAUUGUUAAAAAAUCUGAACAUUAAAAAAAAAAAAAAA
rnacentral:lncRNA from 1 species